rnacentral:lncRNA from 1 species
UUUUUUUUUUCAGAGCUGGGGACCGAACCCAGGGCCUUGCGCUUGCUAGGCAAGUGCUCUACCACUGAGCUAAAUCCCCAACCCCGUGUUUCUUUUUUUUUAUGAAAUUAUAAGCUGCUUCCAGUGUCUAUAUACUUUUGAUGGCUCUGGUAUUGUAUUGGUCAGAGGAGGCAGGGAAGGGAAUUUUUAUGUAAUGAAAAACCAUCUCCUGUUUCUUACUUCAUGUGUCAUGAUAUUGAAACCAAUUUGCUGGUUUCCUCCCAGGCUUGAAGUUCUGUAUUUUAUCAUAUAGUCAGAACACACUAGCUGUUCACAGUAAAUUCUCUGACCACAAAUUUUGCUUCUCUUUCUUGCUGUGUACUUCCUGUUUUGUCAAAUUUCCAUUUAGGGAAAAGAAUGGGUUUUUAGCGUAAGCAUGUUUGAGCUUCACAUUUAAAACUUCUCCUGAAAUUCACUUGGAAGUCAUCCAGUUAUCUGAGGAAGGGAGGAGGGAAGCACUUUAUUUCUCUAAUAUAGCCAGUUUUUCCAGAAAGCUUCAUUUGGCUUUGUGUCAUGAGACUACUACUAGUAAGAAAUUUUUUGUUGUCAGUGUUCAGUAUGCAACUUGCCAGCCUUUUAGGCUUUCCAUGUCAAACAUGUUUUGAGUUUGUGAAUGAAUUAUGAAUGUUCCUUGUGAAGAAUCUGUGUUGCUUCUAGAUCUGUGUAGACUUCCAUAAACUUGUAAGAACUGCAUUCAGCCACAUUUAUUCCACUUACAAUAGGUACAAGUUACAGUUCAUGGGGUCAUUAGAGUACAAAUGGGCUUCAUUUCCAAUCUGUGAUAUAUUCUGAAUGUGAGUCACAGUGAUUGUGAAGUUCAUUUGCAACUGAAAUAGUGAGUUGCAAACCAAUUAUUUGUCACUUUUUAUCCUUGUGACACCUAGCAAGCUACUACUAACAGUCAGCCAGCAGAACCUAUGUUUGCUGCAAACCAAAUCCUGCUUCCCUGCUCUUGGGAGGCUUGCAGCACUGCUCUCCUACAGUGGUGGGACCAAGAAGUAACCUGGUCGGCUUUAAGUCAAACCUUUUUCUUCUUGGCCCAUCAAUAAAAUAAGAAAAAUACUUUUU